rnacentral:lncRNA from 10 species
AGGCUAAAGUCCACGGGCUGUAGAAGCAAACCUUAAAGGGACAUCUGCCUUUCAUUGAGAGGGUGAUCUCGUUCUCCGGGCCAAAUCCCCUAAGGUGGUAGGAAGGCGGAUGAAAACGUCUAGUUGCAGGAAAACAGGCUGAGGGCUCCCACUGAUUCUACAUUAUGGGCUGGAAUCUGAGUAGCUGAGGUGCUUAUGUGACUACAUGCCUACAUCACUGACCCCCAAUAAACACCUUGGACACAAGACUCAGAUAAAGAAACCUCAGAUCAAAUAUAAGCAUCAAAAUCUACAAAGAUUUUAGAGGGUGAAGAAACACGGAAAGAUCUCUGGUGAUGGAGCCAGCAUUGAUGAACCAAGAAAAGUCUUAAACGUGAAGAAGCCUGUGAUAAACAAGGUGACUCACCUCAUCAAAUGGAAUAGGGAUCUUCUGGCAAAGCUGCCUGGGUAAACCGCAACUCACAAGGGAUAGAAUUUCACUAAAUUCUUAAGAGGUUACAGACUCUAUUUCUAUCCUUAAAUACACUCAUUAUUUUAUCCCUGGAUAUACCCAAUUAUAGUUUAAACUUAAAUUGAAUAAAAGAUGAUGGGAA